UGGGGAAUUUUGGACAAUGGGCGAAAGCCUGAUCCAGCAAUGCCGCGUGCAGGAUGAAGGCCUUCGGGUUGUAAACUGCUUUUGUACGGAACGAAAAAGCUUCUCCUAAUACGAGAGGCCCAUGACGGUACCGUAAGAAUAAGCACCGGCUCACUACGUGCCAGCAGCCGCGGUAAUACGUAGGGUGCGAGCGUUAAUCGGCAUUACUGGGCGUAAAGCGUGCGCAGGCGGUUAUGUACGACAGAUGUGAAAUCCCCGGGCUCAACCUGGGAACUGCAUUUAUGACUGCAUGGCUAGGGUACGGUAGAGGGGGAUGGAAUUCCGCGUGUAGCAGUGAAAUGCGUAGAUAUGCGGAGGAACACCGAUGGCGAAGGCAAUCCCCUGGACCUGUACUGACGCUCAUGCACGAAAGCGUGGGGAGCAAACA
rnacentral:rRNA from 1 species